rnacentral:rRNA from 1 species
AGAGUUUGAUUAUGGCUCAGGAUGAACGCUGGCGGCGUGCUUAACACAUGCAAGUCGAACGCUGAAGCCCCAGCUUGCUGGGGUGGAUGAGUGGCGAACGGGUGAGUAACACGUGAGUAACCUUCCCUUGACUCUGGGAUAAGCCCGGGAAACUGGGUCUAAUACCGGAUACGACCUCCUGCCGCAUGGUGUGGGGGUGGAAAGAUUUAUCGGUUUUGGAUGGACUCGCGGCCUAUCAGCUUGUUGGUGAGGUAAUGGCUCACCAAGGCGACGACGGGUAGCCGGCCUGAGAGGGUGACCGGCCACACUGGGACUGAGACACGGCCCAGACUCCUACGGGAGGCAGCAGUGGGGAAUAUUGCACAAUGGGCGCAAGCCUGAUGCAGCGACGCCGCGUGAGGGAUGACGGCCUUCGGGUUGUAAACCUCUUUCAGUAGGGAAGAAGCGAAAGUGACGGUACCUGCAGAAGAAGCGCCGGCUAACUACGUGCCAGCAGCCGCGGUAAUACGUAGGGCGCGAGCGUUAUCCGGAAUUAUUGGGCGUAAAGAGCUCGUAGGCGGUUUGUCGCGUCUGCCGUGAAAGUCCGGGGCUUAACCCCGGAUCUGCGGUGGGUACGGGCAGACUAGAGUGCAGUAGGGGAGACUGGAAUUCCUGGUGUAGCGGUGAAAUGCGCAGAUAUCAGGAGGAACACCGAUGGCGAAUGCAGGUCUCUGGGCUGUUACUGACGCUGAGGAGCGAAAGCAUGGGGAGCGAACAGGAUUAGAUACCCUGGUAGUCCAUGCCGUAAACGUUGGGCACUAGGUGUGGGGGACAUUCCACGUUUUCCGCGCCGCAGCUAACGCAUUAAGUGCCCCGCCUGGGGAGUACGG